rnacentral:tRNA from 1 species
AAAAAUAAAGCGAUAUUUAAUUGCAAUCAGUUUCGACCUGAUCUUAGAUAAUUUCUAUUUUUU